GAUGAAUGCUGGCGGCGUGCCUAAUACAUGCAAGUCGAGCGGUAAGGCCCUUCGGGGUACACGAGCGGCGGACGGCUGAGUAACGCGUGGGAACAUGCCCCAAAGUGAGGGAUAACGCACCGAAAGGUGUGCUAAUACCGCAUAUGGUCUUCGGAUUAAAGGAUUUAUCCGCUUUGGGAGUGGCCCGCGUACGAUUAGAUUGUUGGUGAGGUAACGGCUCACCAAGUCGACGAUCGUUAACUGGUCUGAGAGGAUGAUCAGUCAGACUGGAACUGAGACACGGUCCAGACUCCUACGGGAGGCAGCAGUAAGGAAUCUUCCACAAUGGGCGAAAGCCUGAUGGAGCAACGCCGCGUGCAGGAUGAAGGCCCUCGGGUCGUAAACUGCUUUAUGAGUGAAGAAUAUGACGGUAACUCAUGAAUAAGCACCGGCUAACUACGUGCCAGCAGCCGCGGU
rnacentral:rRNA from 1 species